GAGUGGGAGAAGGGUCCCUGCUGGCUGCCGUGUCCUGGGUGGGCACAGAGCUCUGACCUUGGCCAGAUGGGCUGGUCUCCGGGUGUUUUGAUCCUGACGCUGAACUGGGGCUCUUACCUGUGUGACCUGUGAAAUGUCCCGGAAGCUGAUCGAUGUCUUUGUGCUCCCGCUGUGUUCAUUUGGGCUGUGCUUCAGGCUUCUCUCCCGGGGCCCUUGGCGUUGCUGUAUCUCUUGGAUGCCGUGCAGAACGGAAUCAGGCAGCCAAGCCUCAGGUUCACCUUCUCCCUCACCCUCUGCGCUGCUCGUGUGGCACAGCAGAUCCUGAAGCCAGAGGAGCACGUGUACAUAAGGGUAAAGAGAUUCCUUCUGUCGCACCGGUGUUUGGACCUGAGGAAGGUACCGGGUUUCCUCCAGCUUUUCUACAGUUUUGAU